rnacentral:rRNA from 1 species
AGAGUUUGAUCCUGGCUCAGAACGAACGCUGGCGGCGUGCCUAACACAUGCAAGUCGAGCGUGAAAGUCCCUCCGGGGGCGAGUAAAGCGGCAGACGGGUGAGUAAUACAUAGGUAAUCUACCUUCGAGAUUGGGAUAACCCUGCGAAAGUGGGGCUAAUACCGGAUAAGACCACACGGCUCAAGUCGUGUGGUAGAAGGUGGCUUAUUUUUUAAAUGAGCUAUCACUUGAGGAUGAGCCUAUGGCCUAUCAGCUUGUUGGUGAGGUAAGAGCUCACCAAGGCUAUGACGGGUAGCUGGUCUGAGAGGACUACCAGCCACACUGGGACUGAGACACGGUCCAGACUCCUACGGGAGGCAGCAGUGGGGAAUAUUGGGCAAUGGGCGAAAGCCUGACCCAGCGACGCCGCGUGGGCGAUGAAGGCCUUCGGGUUGUAAAGCCCUGUCAUGUGGAAAGAACAGUUCCGUGGUGAAUAUCCACGGGAUUUGACGGUACCACAGGAGGAAGCACCGGCUAACUCCGUGCCAGCAGCCGCGGUAAUACGGAGGGUGCAAGCGUUGUUCGGAAUUAUUGGGCGUAAAGGGCGCGUAGGCGGUUGUGAAAGUCAGAUGUGAAAUACUUCGGCUCAACUGAAGAACUGCAUCUGAAACUUCAUAACUCGAGUACAGGAGAGGGAAACGGAAUUCCCGGUGUAGAGGUGAAAUUCGUAGAUAUCGGGAGGAACGCCAGUGGCGAAGGCGGUUUCCUGGCCUGAUACUGACGCUGAGGCGCGAAAGCGUGGGGAGCAAACAGGAUUAGAUACCCUGGUAGUCCACGCUGUAAA